GGCCGAGUGGCCUAAUGGUAAGGCGUUGCUUUCCGGUAAUCUCCGGUAUCUCCGGUAAGAUUGGGAUGCAGCAAAGAUUGCGCGUUCGAGUCGCGUCUUGGUCG